rnacentral:misc_RNA from 1 species
GAUGAAGAACGUAGCGAAAUGCGAUAAGUAGUGUGAAUUGCAGAAUUCAGUGAAUCAUCGAAUCUUUGAACGCACAUUGCGCCCUUUGGUAUUCCUUAGGGCAUGCCUGUUCGAGCGUCAUUUAAACCUUCAAGCUAAGCUUGGUGUUGGGUGACUGUCCGCUUCACGGCGGACUCGCCUCAAAAUUAUUGGCGGCCGGUACAUUGGCUUCGAGCGCAGCAGAAACGCGAACUCGGGCCCGUCGUAUUGGCUCCCAGAAGCUAUCCUCACACUUUUGACCUCGGAUCAGGUAGGGAUACCCGCUGAACUUAAGCAUAUCAAUAAGCGGAGGA